rnacentral:rRNA from 1 species
UACGUAGGGGGCGAGCGUUGUCCGGAAUGAUUGGGCGUAAAGGGCGCGUAGGCGGCCCGGUAAGUCUGGAGUGAAAGUCCUGUUUUUAAGAUGGGAAUUGCUUUGGAUACUGUCGGGCUUGAGUGCAGGAGAGGUAAGUGGAAUUCCCAGUGUAGCGGUGAAAUGCGUAGAGAUUGGGAGGAACACCAGUGGCGAAGGCGACUUACUGGACUGUAACUGACGCUGAGGCGCGAAAGUGUGGGGAGCAAACAGGAUUAGAUACCCUGGUAGUCCACACUGUAAACGAUGAAUGCUAGGUGUAGGGGGUAUCGACCCCUUCUGUGCCGCAGUCAACACAAUAAGCAUUCCGCCUGGGGAGUACGGCCGCAAGGUUGAAACUCAAAGGAAUUGACGGGG